UUAAUUUGGGGAAAAUAAUAUGACCUGGUGACAGAAUGGUUCCAAGAAAUUGAUGAAAAAAAGAACUGUUAACAAUAUGCAAUUGAAAAUAUUGGAAGAAAAACAUUUUCCCCCCCUCUGGUUCUUAUAUUAAGAAGAUGUAUGAAAGCUACUAAUAAUGAUGUGCCUGUGUGUGUUUUAGAGCAAGAUCCAUUGAUCUAAGUGACUUUUAAUUUUAGGGAGAAGUAGAAGGCUUAGAGAUCACUCUAUCUUGAUGGAAUAGAGAUUGGGAGCACUGCAGACUAGGCCAGAAGAUUCGGACCUAUGAGAAGACAGUAGGCUUAAAUAGUUAGAUAAGAAGGGCUGGAGAAUUCUUAAUGGUUACAAAAUAAUAUUAAGUUUUACUAUUAGUAGCAAACACAGCUUUCGGUUAACUCUGAGGGUCCUCAAACUGGACCAAAGGGCACAGCACAAAUGAUCUUUGGUUUCAUCUGUGGUGUUUCCUGGGCUAUGAGUAGCAAGAGCUUGUCAGCUUUAUCCAAAUGCAAUUGUAUCAACUCUUGCACAGACAUUUUUCUUGGUAUUUCCUAAAUGGUUCAGUUUUCAAUUAUAUUACAAUAACAGUGAUUGUAAACAC
rnacentral:lncRNA from 1 species